rnacentral:lncRNA from 1 species
CCCAUAUUUUCGCAAUGAAUGAGAAACUUUUACACAUUUUUAUACGUUUAUCGAUAUAGUUGCAGCACCCCAGGCGUGUCGAGAGGCGGAGGGUUCGCUUCUAUUAUGGUCCAUUAAGGUGGAUAUUGCUCAAAGAGAUAACUAUUUAAACUUCGCUGUGGCUGUUGUUGCCUAAGUGCAACAUUGAAGGCGAAAUGCAAGCAUAGAGUGAUGGAACUUCGCAAUAAGUUUGAUGGAAGUCGUUGGUUUAAUUAAAAAGUGUGAGACAACUGUUCGAUUUAGCCCCAAUAAAACAGUUCUUGCAGGAUGACUGGUUUUCUGACAGGCAAAAAUAUGAAUCUUCAAAGACGGGAGGCGCUAAUUACCCGAUUAGCACUGGUGGAAAUUGGAAAUGUUCGCUGCGUCGACAGCAUCUACGUAAAAUUUUGAUGAGAAAUUAUGUGCUUGGUGAACAAUUUCUUGGCGUGUCUAAUAGAAAAUUCGUUGAGGGGAGGAGGGUGAGUGUCCUUGAUAUAGAUACGAAAUGGAACUGGACCUCUAGGUAUGUGGGAGAAAAUGCGAGGAUUGUGAGUGUAGGUCUGACAGCAGAGUUGCAUGGAUCCACUCGAAUAGCGGCCUUGACGGCGUCAACAUAUUUACUGCAACAGUAUUUUGGAAACAUUUAGCGCGAGCAUUAGAUUGAAUAUCGCCCUCGUUCAACCUCGUUAUCUCCACCGAUCGCCCAUGCCUCUCCCUUAGCCACUACACGCCUUGCCAUUUGCCGUUCUAUCUCCGUCACCCGUCACCUCUCUCUCUUUUAAAUCCCUGCUAUUCCCGUGAGCCAAUUUCGAGGCAUGCGGAAUCAAUGUUCGACCGAUAUAUUUAAGCAAGAACAGGCCACCAAUUGUGGGGGGAGGGGGCAGACGGGACAUUCGUCGCAAAGCCCGGGCCUCGAAAAGGCCCAUUUACUCCCCCCUCCCCUCAUUUACCUCAUUUACCCUGGGAAAAAUGUAUUCGUGAGUCAAAAUUCGUUCAUAGUUUACAGAACCAUUACUUCUGGCACCGAUUCGAUACUACUUAUCGACUACUCAUCACAAAGACGAUAGCUUUAAACGCUACAAUCGCCGAGUCGAAUUAGCGACAUUCAAUUUCGUGAUAGGUCGAAAUGUCUGGUAUUAAAUGCCCCAUGUAUGUGUCCAAUAAAAAAUGUUCGAUACAUUUAUGUCUGCCUUUAGGUCCCCAAUUAGGAAUAAGUCGAUUGCUAAAUAAAAUUGAUUGAAUUUAUAAUAAAGCCUCCACACAAACGGACGAUACCGGAGAAAAGCUAAUGCGAGGCGAAUUAGGAAAGUUAUGCGAUGUAAGUAUAUGCUUGUUAAACGCGAUUUAAAAAUUCGUCAAUAGAAAUGUAGCAUAAAAAAGGACUGAUCUCCGUAGAAUAUGGAAUUUACACAAAAGACACAUGAGGAAGAAAGAACACAAAAAACAAAAAUUAUUUAUCGUUUGCAUUUUGCAUUCCAGUAUGAAUGAUUCGCACACUACAUUGUAGUUUAAUACUCGUAACAAAGGUUAUUAUGGAUAAACUCCAAACGAAUUCAUUAGGCUUAAAUUCCCUCAAAAGUUGCUGCGGGAAUAAAAAGUGUUAACUCUAUUUAAAACUCAUACGACAAUUUAACUGUCUGUUUUUCUGUUUUUUGAAUAGGUAACUAUUCGCGCUCAAAAGUAGGUUUUUUGCCUAUGCGAUGCAUUGAAGGCAAACUUGAAUUGAGCGUUACCUAUGUAUUGGUUCACAUAAUUGUUUAUCCGUUCAAUUAAGGCUUAUGCACCAUCGUAAAUGUAAUGUUAUCAAGCAAUCAUGUAUUUGUACUGUUAAAUAUCUCACGCACGGUCACGAAUUUUAAGCGUGCCUAUAGGGCUCGCUUUUUGAAAUCACUCGGAUGUACUGUAGUACAGCACACCGAUCGACCAAUGCUUUUCAAGGGGCGGUCCGAAUUUUUUUUCCGUCGGAUCCGUUCUUCCGUUUUUGAACCGUUAUAGUGUCAAGCCCUGAAGGUCAUUCAUCGAGAAACCGAAUUAUCCUGUUACUGGAAACCCUUGAGAACAUUUUCCCGUGGAAACCGUAUUAUUUUCUUUCAUAGGUACGUCAAAUAAGCUUUUCUACGCUCGGAGGAUUUAAAUUAGAAGUUUAAAUGCCGCCAUAACUAUUUAGCGAAUCAGCGUCUUUUCAAAAGCGGUUAACCCAAGUUGGCUGCAUCUCCAUAGUUACAACUGCAGCGAAGUGAGCAAUCUCCAAUUCGACCAAUUGGAAGGCAGAGUUUUGGAGGUUAGGUUCCCUUGUUGAUUCUCUGAGUGUAAGUUGCAUUUUUUUUUUUUUUUUUUUUUUUUUUUUUUUUUUUUUUUUUUUUUUUUUUGUCACGUUUUUUUUUUUUUUAUUUCCAGAAAAGAUACCUUAAAGUCUCAUUUUAAUACAAAUCAAUCGAAGAAAAGAGAAAAGACAAAGUUUGACUCAUUAAACAGAGUAAACUCCAUACUCUGCUGCUGCAAACUGAGCAAUCUCCAACAUGACGCAACAAACUGAACAAUUUCCAAACUUUAAUUUGAAAUUCUGAAUGAACCAAUUCAGUUAAAUGAUUUAUGAUGUUAUUUUCUUUGUUCAUCCAAUAUAAUUAUGUUACUUUCUUUAUUCAAUAAAAUGUAUUUUCAAUAAAAUGUAUUUACAUUCAACGGUAUCAAAUCAAUAAUUCCUCCCCAAUUUGCAGAGAGUACUAAUUUAUACACAUCUCGUUGAAAUGGAAAUAGUGCACACACUAGAUUUCAAUUAUUCGGCACGCUUUUCCAACAUAUUCAUGUUGGAUGUUUCUUCUUGUUUUUCUUUCUUAAUUGCAAGAGACAACCAAACUUUGAAACAAUGAAAGCAACAACUUCGAAGUUAUUUUAAACUUUAAACUUUUCUUUUUUUUCGUUCGUUUGUUCAUUCUGUUCCUUUCCUCCGUCUCUAUAUUCCCUUCCCUCGUUCUUCUCCUCUUACCUCUCCUCCCCUCCCACUGGUGGUCCGCUCUUUAUGCGCCAUCCUUAAUUCAGUCCUUGCUGGAAAAGGCGAUGGGAUGCGUUUCUCAGCUUUUAAUUUUAUGCAGUAAUUUUGAAGUCACAGCAAAAAGAUAUUUACUUUGAGACGAUCCUUGUGUACUUUGGCAGUUUAGAAGAAUAGAAUAAAUAAAGUGAAGAUAAUGAACUCGGAUGAUAGGGGAUUAAGUUGCGACGCGCCAUGAAAAAAUCAGUGCAUGUGCAAACAGAUUUUAUUAAUUUUCUCGGAAAGUUGAAAACCAAUUUUUUACACAUUUGUUAUCUUUUUUGUAGUUUAUACACACUUAAAAGAUCGGACUGAAUUUACGAUUCUGGUGUGAUGAUUUAAAACUAAACGUCUUUCACUGUUCGUUAGAAUUUAAUAUGUUCUCAAAAAGCUUAUGCAAUUUUAAACGAAAAUUAAAUUUUAACAUAUAGAACAUGUAGGCCUAAAAAAGUAACCAAGAUCCCAGGGAAUUUUUUUAAACAAGCGAUUCUUGAUUAUCAACCAUAAGAAAGUGUAACUUCACCUGAAACAGUUUUUUUAAUAAGAUGAUUUUUUUUCUUAAAAUGGCAACACACCAAAACAUUCUUUG